CAGUCUGAUGGAGCACGCCGCGUGAGUGAAGAAGGUUUUCGGAUCGUAAAGCUCUGUUGUUGGUGAAGAAGGAUAGAGGUAGUAACUGGCCUUUAUUUGACGGUAAUCAACCAGAAAGUCACGGCUAACUACGUGCCAGCAGCCGCGGUAAUACGUAGGUGGCAAGCGUUGUCCGGAUUUAUUGGGCGUAAAGCGAGCGCAGGCGGAAGAAUAAGUCUGAUGUGAAAGCCCUCGGCUUAACCGAGGAAUUGCAUCGGAAACUGUUUUUCUUGAGUGCAGAAGAGGAGAGUGGAACUCCAUGUGUAGCGGUGGAAUGCGUAGAUAUAUGGAAGAACACCAGUGGCGAAGGCGGCUCUCUGGUCUGCAACUGACGCUGAGGCUCGAAAGCAUGGGUAGCGAACAGGAUUAGAUACCCUGGUAGUCCAUGCCGUAAACGAUGAGUGCUAAGUGUUGGGAGGUUUCCGCCUCUCAGUGCUGCAGCUAACGCAUUAAGCACUCCGCCUGGGGAGUACGACCGCAAGGUUGAAACUCAAAGGAAUUGACGGGGGCCCGCACAAGCGGUGGAGCAUGUGGUUUAAUUCGAAGCAACGCGAAGAACCUUACCAGGUCUUGACAUCUAGUGCCAUCCUAAGAGAUUAGGAGUUCCCUUCGGGGACGCUAAGACAGGUGGUGCAUGGCUGUCGUCAGCUCGUGUCGUGAGAUGUUGGGUUAAGUCCCGCAACGAGCGCAACCCUUAUUAUUAGUUGCCAGCAUUAAGUUGGGCACUCUAAUGAGACUGCCGGUGACAAACCGGAGGAAGGUGGGGAUGACGUCAAGUCAUCAUGCCCCUUAUGACCUGGGCUACACACGUGCUACAAUGGGCAGUACAACGAGAAGCGAGCCUGCGAAGGCAAGCGAAUCUCUGAAAGCUGUUCUCAGUUCGGACUGCAGUCUGCAACUCGACUGCACGAAGCUGGAAUCGCUAGUAAUCGCGGAUCAG
rnacentral:rRNA from 1 species